GUAAACUCGGCGAAAUUGCAGUACGAGUAAAGAUGCUCGUUACGCGCAGAAGGACGGAAAGACCCCGUGACCUUUACUACAGCUUGGUAUUGGUGUUCGGUGUGGCUUGUGUAGGAUAGGUGGGAGACUGUGAAGCGGGCACGCUAGUGUUCGUGGAGUCAUUGUUGAAAUACCACUCUGGUCAUAUUGGAUAUCUAACGACGAACCCUGAUCGGGUUUUCGGACAGUGCCUGGUGGGUAGUUUAACUGGGGCGGUUGCCUCCCAAAAAGUAACGGAGGCGCCCAAAGGUUCCCUCAACCUGGUUGGCAAUCAGGUGGCGAGUGUAAGUGCACAAGGGAGCUUGACUGUGAGACUGACAGGUCGAGCAGGGACGAAAGUCGGGACUAGUGAUCCGGCAGUGGCUUGUGGAAGCGCUGUCGCUCAACGGAUAAAAGGUACCUCGGGGAUAACAGGCUGAUCUUGCCCAAGAGUCCAUAUCGACGGCAUGGUUUGGCACCUCGAUGUCGGCUCGUCGCAUCCUGGGGCUGGAGUCGGUCCCAAGGGUUGGGCUGUUCGCCCAUUAAAGCGGUACGCGAGCUGGGUUUAGAACGUCGUGAGACAGUUCGGUCCCUAUCCUCUGCGCGCGUUGGAAAUUUGAGAGGAUCUGACCCUAGUACGAGAGGACCGGGUUGGACGAACCUCUGGUGUGCCAGUUGUUCUGCCAAGGGCAUGGCUGGUUGGCUACGUUCGGGAUGGAUAACCGCUGAAAGCAUCUAAGCGGGAAGCCGGCCUCAAGAUGAGAUUUCCGUAGGAGUUUACUCCUGUGAGGCUCCCAGUAGAUGACUGGGUUGAUAGGCCAGAUGUGGAAGCGCGGUAACGUGUGGAGCUGACUGGUACUAAUAAGCCGAUGACUUGACUU
rnacentral:rRNA from 1 species